GACGAACGCUGGCGGCGUGCUUAACACAUGCAAGUCGAACGGUGAAGCGCCUUCCUUGUUGGUGGGUGUGGAUGAGUGGCGAGCGGGGGAGUAACACGUGAGUAACCUUCUCCCUCCUGCUUGAUAACCGCAUGAAAGUGCGGCUAAUACGGGAUAUUCUGGGCCUGUCGCAUGAUGGGUCUGGGAAAGAUAUGGUGUCGGUUGGGGAUGGGCUCGCGGCCUAUCAGCUUGUUGGUGGGGUGAUGGCCUACCAAGGCGGUGACGGGUAGCCGGCCUGGGAGGGUCGCCGGCCCCGGUGGGGCUGCGCCACCGCCCCGCCUCCUGCGGGAAGCAGCAGGGGGGAUUCUUGCACGGUGGGAGCCAGGAUGAUGCAGCGCCGCCGCGUGGGGGAUGGAGGCCUUCGGGUUGUGAACCUCUUUCGCCAGUGAAGCAGGCCUGCCUCGUUUGUGGGUGGGUUGACGGUAGCUGGAUAAGAAGCGCCGGCUAACUACGUG
rnacentral:rRNA from 1 species